rnacentral:rRNA from 1 species
UACGGAGGGUGCAAGCGUUAAUCGGAAUUACUGGGCGUAAAGCGCACGCAGGCGGUUGGAUAAGUUAGAUGUGAAAGCCCCGGGCUCAACCUGGGAAUUGCAUUUAAAACUGUCCAGCUAGAGUCUUGUAGAGGGGGGUAGAAUUCCAGGUGUAGCGGUGAAAUGCGUAGAGAUCUGGAGGAAUACCGGUGGCGAAGGCGGCCCCCUGGACAAAGACUGACGCUCAGGUGCGAAAGCGUGGGGAGCAAACAGGAUUAGAU